rnacentral:rRNA from 1 species
CCCUUAGAUGUUCUGGGCUGCACACGUGCUACACUGGCAGGUUCAGCGAGCUUCAUGCCCUGAUCUGAAAGGAAUGGGAAAUCUUUUCAAAACCUGCCGUGCUUGGGAUAGAUGUUUGCAAUUAUUCAUCUUCAACGAGGAUUGCCUUGUAAGCGCACGUCAUCAGCGUGCAUUGGAUACGACCCUGUAUUCUGUACACACCGCCCGUCGCUCCUACCGAUUGAAGUUUUCGGUGAGUUGACAGGAGGAUUUUUUUGAAACUGGUUCGCCAGUGGAUUUUAGAUCCAAAUGCCAACGAAUCGAUGGCUUUAGAGGAAGGAGAAGUCGUAACA